UACGGGGGGAGCAAGCGUUGUUCGGAUUUACUGGGCGUAAAGGGCGCGUAGGCGGCGCAACAAGUCACUUGUGAAAUCUCCGGGCUUAACCCGGAGCGGUCAAGUGAUACUGUCGUGCUAGAGUGCGGAAGGGGCUACUGGAAUUCUCGGUGUAGCGGUGAAAUGCGUAGAGAUGCGGAGGAACACCGAUGGCGAAGGGCAGCCCCCUGGGCCGACACUGACGCUCAGGCACGAAAGGCGUGGGGAGCAAACGA
rnacentral:rRNA from 1 species